GGCGACCGAACACCCGUACCCCCCUCCCCCUUCCACCACGUCGGCCACCCUUUCCCGGGGCACGCGCUUCCCGCAGGCCUCCGCAUCUGCUUUGGUGCACACCCUGCUUCCUCCACGUUUGCAUCUGUGACUUUCCUCAGUCGACCAUGCUCCCCAUCACCUCCGCUAUUACCCGCGGCAGGAUCUCCUUGCAUGUCAUCUGCAGCAACUGCCACAGAACUAGGGUGCGACAGAUGCUGGGACACGGUGCGAGAUCCAGUGCACCGGCCACCGCUGUCCUAGGAUCUUCUUCCUGCUUACUCUGACCACGGAAGACUCGCACAGCGACAGAGGGCUGAGAGCAGGCGGCAGUUUUGCCUCUGUGGCACGACUGCUUCGCUGCACACGGAAAGAAGCGACGACGGACGGGAUGGACUCUGUGCGCCGCCGCCGCUACCCUACUUUUUUUCGCUCUCAACGUGAGCGAGCAACGAAAAGGAGUGGACCAUGGCAGGACCGCUCACCGGCGGAGCAUCCAUCGAGGGAAAGGCGCAGAGGCAGCCUUGCGUCGCCUCCCUCUCUUUCUCCUUCUCGAAUGCGCUCUGCACGGCGUACUCUGAAAGCACGCAUCUCGUCUUCCUAACGCGCAUACUGCAUGGCGCGUUGGUGUAGGCGCGUUGUUCUCGCGCAGCGGUGCAUAACGGUUGACUUUCCUUUUUCAGCCUUCAUUGUGGCCAGCUCCAUGGGCAGCAGACAAAGACCUGCGCAGCUGAGCACGCCGCUCUCAAGCUGGUGGUCUCACUGAUGUGAUGAAAUACCGUUCGCUCUUCUUUCUGCGGAUUCUGUGCGCCUCUACGUCACUUUAUUCUUUACUCAUCGCUCCAACGCGCCACUGCUGCAUCACACUCGCACCACAUUUCUGCUCUUGCAAUCCUUCUACUUACGCGCCGGUUAAG
rnacentral:misc_RNA from 1 species